GACGAACGCUGGCGGCGUGCUUAACACAUGCAAGUCGAACGAGUGGCGAACGGGUGAGUAACACGUGGGUGAACUGCCCUGCACUUCGGGAUAAGCCUGGGUAACUGGGUCUAAUACCGGAUAGUGUGGGAUGGGCCCGCGGCCUAUCAGCUUGUUGGUGGGGUAAUGGCUCACAAGGCGCGACGGGGAGCCGGCCUGGGAGGGUGGACGGCCACAUUGGGACUGAGACACGGCCCAGACUCCUUCGGGAGGGCGCAGGGGGGAAAUUUUCGAAAAUGACGAAAGUCUGACGGCGCAACGGCGCGGGAGAGAUGGCGGCCUUCGGGUUUGAAAGCUCUGUUAAUCGGGACGCGGUACCGGAAUAGAAAGCCACGGCUAACUACGUGCCAGCAGCCGCGGUAAUAC
rnacentral:rRNA from 1 species